rnacentral:rRNA from 1 species
UACGGAGGGCGCAAGCGUUAAUCGGAAUCACUGGGCGUAAAGCGCGCGUAGGCUGUUUGAUAAGUCAGACGUGAAAUCCCUCGGCUCAACCGGGGAACUGCGUUUGAUACUGUCGAACUCGAGUCCUGGAGAGGGUGGCGGAAUUCCUGGUGUAGGAGUGAAAUCCGUAGAUAUCAGGAGGAACACCGGUGGCGAAGGCGGCCACCUGGACAGGUACUGACGCUGAGGUGCGAAAGCGUGGGGAGCAAACAGG